rnacentral:lncRNA from 1 species
CGGCCGCCGUCUCCUCUCAACCCGGGGUCGAGGGACCCCCGACGGGAGGGCGGCGGGCCACUGCGCCUGCGCAGGUUGUUCCAGGCCGGCGGUGCUGUCCGGCCGCUCAGCCGGGAAGUCGCCCGCCUGACUGAGUGGGUCAAGGGGCGAUGACAGCCUCCGGCCUGUAGUGACAGCUUCUGGAGACCCCGGGGAAGCGUGUGCUGCGCGCCGUCUUGCCUCAGCGCCCCACAGUCUCGCGUCAUUCGGGCGCCGGCGCCUGCCUGUGGCUAAGGCAGGCCGGCGUGUGCGUGCCUUCGCGGUGGGAAAGGAUUCUUGGGGCGGAGCGAGAAAGCCAGAAAGAUCUGGCAGGCUGUAGUGUAAUGGAAGUCGUCCAAAAACUGUUAUGGUUUCCUGUAUUGAGUUAUCCCAGGCUGCAGGUACAGGCAGCCUAAGUUCUCAAGGUCACACAUUUAGUCAUGGAAGAACUAGAAUUUGGAUGCUUGCCUUUCU